AUUGCCCUAGUAACGGCGAGUGAAGCGGCAACAGCUCAAAUUUGAAAUCUGGCUCCGUAACGAGUUGUAAUUUGCAGAGGAAGCUUUAGGCGCGGCACCCUCUGAGUCCCCUGGAACGGGGCGCCACAGAGGGUGAGAGCCCCGUAUAGAUGGACGCCUAGCCUGUGUAAAGCUCCUUCGACGAGUCGAGUAGUUUGGGAAUGCUGCUCUAAAUGGGAGGUAAAUUUCUUCUAAAGCUAAAUACCGGCCAGAGACCGAUAGCGCACAAGUAGAGUGAUCGAAAGAUGAAAAGCACUUUGAAAAAAGGGUUAAAUAGCACGUGAAAUUGUUGAAAGGGAAGCGCUUGUGACCAGACUUGCGCCGGGCGGAUCAUCCGGUGUUCUCACCGGUGCACUCCGCCCGGCUCAGGCCAGCAUCGGUUCUCGUGGGGGGACAAAGGUCCCGGGAACGUAGCUCCUCCGGGAGUGUUAUAGCCCGGGGCGUAAUGCCCUCGCGGGGACCGAGGACCGCGCUUCGGCAAGGAUGCUGGCGUAAUGGUCAUCAGCGACCCGUCUUGAAACACGGACCAAGGAGUCAAGGUUUUGCGCGAGUGUUUGGGUGUAAAACCCGCACGCGUAAUGAAAGUGAAAGUAGGUGAGAGCUUCGGCGCAUCAUCGACCGAUCCUGAUGUUUUCGGAUGGAUUUGAGUAGGAGCGUUAAGCCUUGGACCCGAAAGAUGGUGAACUAUGCUUGGAUAGGGUGAAGCCAGAGGAAACUCUGGUGGAGGCUCGCACCGGUUCUGACGUGCAAAUCGAUCGUCAAAUCUGAGCAUGGGGGCGAAAGACUAAUCGAACCAUCUAUUAACUGGUUACCCCCCAAAUUUCCCUCAGGAAAGCAAGGUUGUUCUUCAGUUUUUUGAGGUAAAGCGU
rnacentral:rRNA from 1 species